GACGAACGCUGGCGGCGUGCCUAACACAUGCAAGUCGAACGGGACCAGGGGCAACUCUGGUUCAGUGGCGGACGGGUGCGUAACACGUGAGGAACAUGACCUUCGGCGGGGGAUAGCCGG
rnacentral:rRNA from 1 species